AGGGGCGGACGGGUGAUCGCUCUGCGUAUUCGCGGGGAGGAAAGUCCGGGCAUCAAAGGGCAGGAUGGUCCUUAACGGGGACUGGGGGCAACCCUAAGGAAAGUGCCACAGAAAAGACACCGCCUCGCCGCAAGGCGGGGUAAGGGUGAAAAGGUGAGGUAAGAGCUCACCAGUGUCCGGGCGACCGGGCAGCUUGGUAAACCCCAUUCGAUGCAAGGCCAAAAAGGGUGUCGCGCCUUGGCGCGACAAGGAUGGCCCGUCCAAAUACCCGGGUAGGCCGCAACAGGUUCAGGGCAACCUGGACCGGUAAGAGAAAUGAUCACCGCCCCGCUGAAGGCGGGGAACAGAACCCGGCUUAUAGUCCGCCCCUAUUU
rnacentral:RNase_P_RNA from 1 species